CCCAGGGUAAAAACUGCCUUAGUCCCACCCUUGCUACUUCAUUGGUUAGAGUGACAGUCAGUCACACAGUGCAAUCAGCCAAUCACUGCACCUGAAGUAGGUUUUUCAGGCCUGCUCCAGCUUUCCCAAUCAGCUGUGAGAGGGAGAGCUGGAGACAAAGGAGCUGCAGAUCUGAAUAUCCAGUGAGCUUGGAGCCAUGAAGCUGCCAUGCACUGAUCUUUAAAAGGAAUUGGCCAGGUGAUUUCCCCUUUUUGGGGUUAAAGGAUUGCGAGCUUCUAAGAUCUGGCUGGAGCCAGGAGAACCGAAUUUCACUCCAUACUGGUCUGGUAGGAGUUUGAUGGUCCAUGAACUUUCCCCUCCUUCUCAUUACACAGACACACUACCCAUUAUUCACCCUUUCCAUCAGAGCUGAAUUGCGCUUGGACAUUUUCCCUUAAAGUUUCUGGAUAAACAAGCUAUGGACUUUUAAAUGU